CGUAUACCGAUUGAACGUUUUAGUGAGGUAUUUGGAUCGGGCCUUCAGAGGGUAUCCCCCUUUGUUGUUGUCUGAGAAGACUCCCAAACUUGAGCGUUUAGAGGAAGUAAAAGUCGUAACAAGGUUUCCGUAGGUGAACCUGCGGAAGGAUCAU
rnacentral:rRNA from 1 species